ensembl:snRNA U6 U6 spliceosomal RNA
GUGCUCAUUUUGGCAGCUUGUACACUAAAACUGGAACAACAGAGAGAAGGAUUUAGCAUGGCUCCUGAACAAGGAUGACACACAAAAUCACGAAGCAUUCCAUAGUUUU